rnacentral:rRNA from 1 species
UGGGGAAUAUUGCACAAUGGGGGAAACCCUGAUGCAGCGACGCCGCGUGAGCGAAGAAGGUUUUCGAAUCGUAAAGCUCUGUCCUAUGAGAAGAUAAUGACGGUAUCAUAGGAGGAAGCCCUGGCUAAAUACGAGCCAGCAGCCGCGGUAAUACGUAUGGGGCGAGCGUUGUCCGGAAUUAUUGGGCGUAAAGGGUACGUAGGCGGUCUAUUAAGUCAGGUGUGAAAGCGUGAGGCUUAACCUCAUUAAGCACUUGAAACUGAUAGACUUGAGUGAAGGAGAGGAAAGUGGAAUUCCUAGUGUAGCGGUGAAAUGCGUAGAUAUUAGGAGGAAUACCGGUGGCGAAGGCGACUUUCUGGCCAUAAACUGACGCUGAGGUACGAAAGCGUGGGUAGCAAACAGG